rnacentral:rRNA from 1 species
CGGUCAACAGAGCGAGGCAAAGCCGCGAGGCGGAGCGAAUCGCUAAAAGCCGUCCCAGUUCGGAUUGCAGGCUGCAACCCGCCUGCACGAAGUCGGAAUUGCUAGUAAUCGUAGGUCAGCAUACUACGGUGAAUACGUUCCCGGGCCUUGUACACACCGCCCGUCAAACCAUGAGAGUUGGCAACACCCGAAGUCCGUAGCCUAACCGCAAGGGGGGCGCGGCCGAAGGUGGGUUCGAUAAUUGGGGUGAAGUCGUAACAAGGUAUC